rnacentral:lncRNA from 1 species
GAGGAGCGGCUGGAGGCUCUCCAGGCCAGCGGCAGCGGUGGCGUGCUGGCCACCCAUUCUCGUGACCUUGCUAAGGCCCCUGUUGCUUAACUCUCUGGCAAGCCCUUGGUUUCUGGCCAUUUUCCAGACUUCAUCACUCUUCUCUGCCAAUUCUAUGAGCCCCUGAUAGCCUUCCAAUAAAUUCCACUUGAUUACCACAUGGCUUGCAAUCAAGAACCCAGCAUAACACACAACCACUUAUUAAAUACUAAGUAAGAGCCAGACACUUGACAUGUGACAUCUUGUCAGAUCCUCAAACACCCCGGUGAGGAAAGCGUUAUUAUCCCUGUUUUCCAAAUGAGGACACUGAGGCUCAGGGAGCUGGGUGAUGUGUCAAAAGUUGCCCAGCUGCAGAGUGGCAAUGCUGGAAUUUGAAGCCAGGCUUUUCUGAUUCUGAAUUCCAUGUUUUCUUACUUGCCUUUUUCUUCUGCUCCAGCUUGCAGUGCCUCGGAGAGGUGGCGCUGGCUAGCCUGGGACUUCCAACAUACAGCCUACAUUGAUGGCCUGAGACUUGUGGCAAAAAAGACUUUCAAAAUCUAAUUUGCUCACAUACAUGAACACCUGCCAGGAAGGAAUUUGAGGCCUUUGUUCUAAACAUGGAAAAGCUGAGUUCAUUUGCCCCAGAGGGGGCACCUGCAGGGAAAAGGAAAAAUGGUUUUAACCCUUUCCUUGAGUCAGAAAAUGAGGCCACCAGAUUCUCCUUUCAUCCUUCAAGUAUCAGAAAGGUCUGUGCUGUGAAUUCCACAGAUGAGAUUCAUUGCAAGAUGUGAGGGCAGAGGAAAUCCAUGGAAAUGAAAUCCACAUUCAAACUGGAUGCAUGCGUUCAGCAACUGGAAGCUGAGUUCAUAUUUCAUUGCCCAACUACCCUGACCACUUGGGAAUCGCAGGUUUGGAAGGACCCACAGCCAUUCUGUGGAAAUGGAUCUGCUUUCAGGACCGAAUCUCAGACUUCUUGGGGAAGGUUUCAGUGGCUGCCUUUGCUGUGCAGACCUGGAGAUGGGUCUGAUGAUCGGACACCUGAAUUAUCUGUGUGGCUGAGUUUCAAGAAGACCUGCUGGGGUGAAAUGAAAAUGGUGCCUACUAGAAGCCCCAGUGGCUUUGCUGGUGGAGGCUAGCUUGCUCAUGUCCUCAUACAGAAGCAGAGAUGCAAGCAAGUGAGAAGGUGGAAGGACUCAGGUCUUGGGCCUUACUCUGAGAACUAUAACACCAUUCCUUCUGCUGCAUUCUCUUGUCUAAAAUUUGCUCCUCCACUGGCUCUUCUUGUAGACACACGACUGCUACAGUAUCAAGGGUCUGAUGCAGACAUGACAAUGUCAAGAGGAAGAGGAGAGCCUCGCUCUUCCCAGGCUUUUGCUUUUAAGAGCAGAAAAACUUUCCCCAGAGUUCCACCAGCUCACUUCUCAUCUUACUUCUUUGGCCAGAACUGGCCCUUGUGCCCAUAUUGUCAGUCAAAUGCCGACAAAGGAAAGGGGCCACUAUGAGUGGUUUAGACUUGGAUUGGAUUUGUCCUUAUUGGAUUGUCCUUAAGUCCUUUGAAAAAGAAGUAUACAACAGAAUGAAAUCUUGACUCAGCUUUCAAGAAUAAAGAGGGUGAGAUGACUGAUGGAUGGCUAGCAAAAUCAGAUGUGGGCUCUGUCCUCAUGGAGCAUACAGUCAGAAGGGGAAGAUUUACCUAAUUACACUAACAAACUUAUAACUGUGGUCAGUGUUCUGAAGGAAAGGAAAUCCAGUUGUAUGGUAACGUAUAACAAAGAAACUGAACUAGGAUGGAGAUGGGGGUGGUAAGUGUAGUUGGGGAAGCCAGGGACAUGAUCUGUAAGAUGGCUGGCCUGGAUUCAAAUUCCACUCCACUUACUUGCUGUGUGAUUUUAGAUUAGUCGCUUCUCCUCUCUGAGCUCAACUUCAUCUAUAACAAUCUUUCCUAGGGUUGUUAAAGGAUUGAAUGAGCCACUCUAUGUAACCACUUGACACAUAUUAGGCACUUCAGUGGCUCCUUUUCCAGAUUAAAGAAGGAGAAAACGUGUAUGUUUGGAGUUAGCACAAGACAGGAUGAUUCCUCAUGUUUGUUUUGGAAAACAAGUCUUAAACUCACAGCCAUGACAGAGUCUGACAUCAUCAGACAUCAGGCGUGUUAAGAAUUGCACUCUUAAUUGAAAAUGUCCAGAGUUUGUGAUUAAUUGCAAUCCUUUUCAGAUCCUUUCCCUAAGAAUUUAAUUUUUCUCCCCACCCACCCGGAGGUCAGGCUUUUAAUGUAACAAGUACAAUCAAUCUUCCACUGAAGAUGGCCUCUCUCUAGUGCAAGCUGGAGCAGGACUCAUCUGGAUUAGAAGCCUAGACGGUUUGGAGUCACCUGGUGAGGUUUACGUGCACAGCUGGGGCCCAGCCUACCUAAUUAGGACCAGAGAGUGGUUGAGAAGGGGACCGGCGCGUAUUCUAGGCGCCCUCCUCCAGUGUCUGUUUCUAAUAAUGGCAGAAAGUAGCAGAGGCGGCGGGGUGAGCUUGGAGCGUGGUGACAUCAUCCCUCCAGCUGUUUUACACAUCUGUGACAUGGCUCAUUAGGACUCUCUUAACACCUCAUCCUUCCCUGCUCCACACAGCUCCAGUUGCAUGAGAAAAGGUGCUCUUGCAUGUGAGGGGCCCCAAGACUGGGGCUGACUUCAGGGUCAAAGAUUCGCUUGGGCACUCUACCAGUCAUCAGAAUUUUCACAGAGACACCCCCCCAACACACACACCCGCAGCAUGCGCUCCUUGAAAGUGCUAAUAGCUUCAAUAUGAGGCUGGCACUUCUGCAUGACUGUUGGUGUUCAGGGCCAGCCUAGUCUUGGGGAGUAGGCCAUCUGUAGCAGCUGCAGAAAUGUUUUUGCUUAUUUUGAGCAUUCUAAGUUUUUCCUAGCCAUGAAUAACAACAAUCGAAUAAAUCAUCCCACAGUGUGUAGGAUGGUCGUUUUUUUGUUUUUUUUUUUCAGCAAGAACAACAAAAAAUGACAUAUCAUGUACUAUGGAUAAUACACAUAAAAAAUUCCGCCAUAUUUAUAGGCAGCAGUUAACUAACUAUAUUUAGAUAUUUGAAACUGUCUUAAAUCAGAUGAAUGAUAAAAGCUUCCUGGAUUUCAGUGGAAAGCCUAAAUGACUAAACCAAAAAAAAAAAAAAAAGUUUUAUUACUAUGAAGUAUAGUGCAUAUUCUGAAAUAAAAGAUAUGUGAUAUUUAUAAAAUAAAAAGAGAAACUUUGUCAAUAGACAGCAUCAUUUAAUAAAGCAGGGUCCCAGAUUUACAGACCUUUGUUUGAGUUCUAAAAUUUACUAGGAAGGAGGGUGCAGGGGUGGAAGCCGUUCAUUGUAGCUCUUUAAAUUUCCUCACUUUUGAAUGGAGAUGAUAAAAUGCCCCUCACAGGGUUUUUGAGAGGACUAAAAAUAUAAGGUAUGGAAAGUGUUUAGCAUUGUGCCUAUCACAAAGUUAGUGCUUGAAUAUAUUAGCUAUUGUCAUUAAUACUAUUGCUAUUCUUAUUUCUUCUACAACUGUUAUUGUUGAAAUGCGAAGUCAAAAUGGUACAUUUUUAUCAACUAUUAAGUGCUAUCAUGUUUCAAUUAAUACAUAAUGUUAUUGAUUA